GUGUUUCUCCGAAACUACGUACCACCGUAGGAUUGAUGUUGAUUAUUGUGGGUCAGAGGCCGAGUAUAGGAUUGUGAUAAUGAGAUUGAGGUUGUACUCCCUGGCAAGAGUACAACACCCCCGCCAAUGUGGGGUUCUCUCCUUAGGAGGGCAAAACGUUGGACUCCAUGCGGCUCGCAUGGUGUAGUCAUGUCCUAUAAAAAACUCCCAAG
rnacentral:lncRNA from 1 species